UAUCCAGUAGCACCUUAGAGACCAACUAAAUUUGUUCUGGGUAUAAGCUUUCAUGUGCAUUCAGACUUCUUCAGAUACCCAGAACAAACUUAGUUGAUCUCUAAGGUGCUACUGGAGA